ensembl:lncRNA
UCUGCAGGAAGCAGCAAAAAAUGGGGUCUGCAACACACACAGUGUGUGUGUUCCUGUGUUUUUUGGUCUCAGGAUCAUGCUACACACUCCAGACCGUGGGCUCAUGCACGGUCAACAGAGAGAUGGCUGCAUUUGACUGCAGUGGAAAAAGACUUACAUCGGUACCAAAGCACAUCUGGAUGAACGUAACCGAACUGGACCUGUCUGAAAAUCUGUUAGAUUUAACCCACAGUGACAGCUUCAAGCGCCUGAACCUCUUCAGCCAUUUAGUCUCACUGAACCUAUCAGGCAACUACCUCCCCCUACUGUUAAAAGUCCAUCUCUACAGCCUUUCUUCUCUUAAGUUUACAGAUGCUCUUCCUGGGGGACAUUUAGUCGAUUGCAGUUAA